rnacentral:rRNA from 1 species
GUGAAAGCUGAACGCUGGCGGCGUGCUUAACACAUGCAAGUCGAACGAUGAUCCCAGCUUGCUGGGGGAUUAGUGGCGAACGGGUGAGUAACACGUGAGUAACCUGCCCUUGACUCUGGGAUAAGCCUGGGAAACCGGGUCUAAUACUGGAUAUGACCUUCUGGCGCAUGCCAUGUUGGUGGAAAGCUUUAUUGCGGUUUUGGAUGGACUCGCGGCCUAUCAGCUUGUUGGUGGGGUAAUGGCCUACCAAGGCGACGACGGGUAGCCGGCCUGAGAGGGUGGACGGCCACACUGGGACUGAGACACGGCCCAGACUCCUACGGGAGGCAGCAGUGGGGAAUAUUGCACAAUGGGCGCAAGCCUGAUGCAGCGACGCCGCGUGGGGGAUGAAGGCCUUCGGGUUGUAAACCUCUUUCAGUAGGGAAGAAGCGAAAGUGACGGUACCUGCAGAAGAAGCGCCGGCUAACUACGUGCCAGCAGCCGCGGUAAUACGUAGGGCGCAAGCGUUAUCCGGAAUUAUUGGGCGUAAAGAGCUCGUAGGCGGUUUGUCGCGUCUGCCGUGAAAGUCCGGGGCUUAACUCCGGAUCUGCGGUGGGUACGGGCAGACU